AUUGAACGCUGGCGGAAUGCUUUACACAUGCAAGUCGAACGAUGAACCUUAGCUUGCUAAGGGGAUUAGUGGCGAACGGGUGAGUAAUGUAUCGGAACGUAUCCAAUAAUGGGGGAUAACUAGUCGAAAGAUUAGCUAAUACCGCAUACGUCCUACGGGAGAAGGCUAGGGACCUUCGGGCCUGGCGUUAAUGGAGCGGCCGAUAUCUGAUUAGCUAGUUGGUGGGGUAAAGGCUAACCAAGGCGACGAUCAGUAGCUGGUCUGAGAGGACGACCAGCCACACUGGAACUGAGACACGGUCCAGACUCCUACGGGAGGCAGCAGUGGGGAAUUUUGGACAAUGGGCGAAAGCCUGAUCCAGCCAUUCCGCGUGAGUGAAGAAGGCCUUCGGGUUGUAAAGCUCUUUCGCAAGGGAAGAAAACUUAAGCUCUAACAUAGCUUGAGGUUGACGGUACCUUGAUAAGAAGCGCCGGCUAACUACGUGCCAGCCGCCGCCGUAA
rnacentral:rRNA from 1 species